UAUAUAAAGAGACACUGGCGUGGGUCCUUCGUGAGCUGGGACCUGAGGCACCCCUGACAACAAUGAAUGGAUGUGGUGAAAAAUAUGCAUGCACAAGGAGCAUCCAUCCCACAAUAAGCACCCAUCAGGAAGCAUCCUAUUUGUAAUUCAGUUUUGAAUUUGGUUUUAAAACCAGUAUUGGUAAUGAAAGGCAUAGUAAUUGGUUUAGGAAUCUUACUGUAUGAACCAGAAUAAUGUAAAUGUUAUCAUGUUGAGAAAAACAAAAGAGAAGUAAUGAUGGGAUAAUACUUUUUAUUAAGAUGCAAAUGAACUUUCAGUUCCCCAGAACUUUUCUUUAGGCUGGAUGUCUUUGGAUCUGACCAGAGUGCUCAAGUACAAACACAACGAAGACUUGUUUCCAUGAGCUGCUGUCAUUGGGAAUGGCAUCUAAGGUAUAACAAUGGAUUUGUUGCAUGUCCCUUACAAAUUACUCAUCAAUCUGUGCAAACAGAACUUACUGUUCUGCUGCUUGGAAGACCGGGCAGGGCAGGUGGUGGUUGGCACAUCUGCCUGAAAUGCUUUGUUCCCGACUCUUUUAAAGCAUCAGUGGAAACAAAACCAAUAAACCCUACUUUCAUCAGCAGUAUGCUGCAUGUUAAGAUCAAAGUACAAUCUAUGAAGAGCAGGUGCUGAAACAGUAACCAAACUUGGAAAGGUCCCCCCACCACUAGCUGCUGCUUAAACCUUUAAGACAGAGGCAGUAAGAACACUCACAUUACGGACCGCAGCAUUAUGAUUGCAGGAUGCUAGCUUCUGGUUGGUGGAAAAGUACCUGCUCGACAGUAGUUAACAGCACUUCUCAUUUUGGAUGAGCGAAUGAAAAUCAGUGGCGAAAGCGUGCGGCAAUGGAGAGCUGGUCAAAACAUUGGCUCAGUUUGCAUGCAAUGCUAAGCAGAUCCAUAACAGUGUGUCAACAUGUAAAUGUGCCGUCUUGAAGAUUGUGGCUGCAGUUAUCUGCUACUGCUGCUGUUGCACUUCCCUGUAAGAAUAACUGGGUGGAAUCUGAUGUUAUGUGAGCAGAAAGCAAGUUCUUGCAAUGGAUAAUUUCCAUAGAACACAGUUCACCGUGCUUAGCAGAUUCCUCCGACACUUUGGAGAAGUUUUUUUGGGAGCAGGGUACAGGGGGGCUGCAGUGGGGAUGAGGGAAAAGGAGAGAUUCACUGAUGUGAGCUGUCGCCUGCUGCAAACAACCCACCAAAUAUCGUGAGUGUGCAUCAUAGAACAGCAAACCAUAAUAUACAGAAGCAUUUCUUGAAUCUGUGGCCUCAGGAGACAUUUCAUACAGAAUCCACCUCCCAACAAACCUGGUAGAUUUCCUUUGGAACAGGGUACAAGGCACCAAAUCAGCAAAGAUGAAAUAUCUGAGCAGCUGUACACCCAAGGAUACUCUGUGAACUCAGCACGACAGAUCAUGUACACUUCUUGAAGUAGAGAGACAGAAUUCCCUGCCACUCUGAACCAAAUGAAGUUACUGAAACAUCUUCAAAAGCAACCCCAUGAAGAGUAUUUAUUGGAGAGGUCAAGUCUGCUGGAUUUAUUAACGUCAUGAGUUUUAUAGCAGGUGCAGACAUUAUGUGCCUUUGCCACUUCUGGCCUGAAGUACUGCAGCAAGCCACAUGGGGAUGCACUUGAAGCUCGUUCAGCAAUCACAUCUGGUUCAGAUUGCAGCUGCCACCCUGCUAAGUGGUGCUAGGAAGCUGAAGGUAUUAAGCUAAUUUUUCAACAACUGCAUUGACUUCCUAUUCCCUCUGAGCCAAGUUCAACAUGAUGAGUUUAGUCUAUAAAGCUCUAAGCAAUUUCAGUUUGAGCAUUUUCUGUCCACAGGAGCCUAGAGCAAAACCUAUGCUUUUCCAUUUCCAAUUAUAUUUCUACAGUAACAGGCCAAUAAUCCUCUUCUUUCCAAUUGCUUUGAUGUGGGAAGAGCAACAAAUGUUUUAGGGUGAUGACCGCCUUUUACACACACCCAUAUGGCAUCACACACAUUUUCUUUUGAACAGCAACAAUGGAGACUUUAUAGGUGCUUUGUUGCUUAAAGAUAUAAGCAGUGUUUUACUAUGGUUUUUUUUAAUAUAUAUUGCAAAAGGUCUUUCAAUGAAAAUCUGUUGCUGCAAGGCAUCACUGAAUCCAACAAACCUUGAUAAUGUCAGAAAUCUCUUGCAAAGCUCAUCAGCCACAACCUCUCUCCUAAACCUGGGCACGAUUGAUCAGGAAUGUCAAAUCAUUUGGCUGUAAAUGGUGCCUAUAUGUUUAAGGGCUCUGAGGCAGUGAUACUGCAACUACAAUCUCUCCCGCCUAAUUCUUCCACCAGUCCCUUUGAACAGCCUCCUGCUGAACCUGCUACAGUUCCCAUCAUCCCUAGCUAACAGGACCAGUGGUCAGGGAUGAUGGGAAUUAUAGUCUCAAACAUCUGGAGGGCCGGAGUUUGCCAAUGCCUGGUCUAACAUAUCCUUCCUACUAAAAGAGACCACAAUAUUUAAACCUCUCCAAGUUGAAGGCCAAAAGCCUGGAUGGAAAAAUGUAUCGUGAUGAUAAUGCAUACCACGUACCUUACAAUGAAUCUAUGAAGUGUCAUUAUUGAAUGAUGAAAUCACACAAACCUUUUUAAAUUCUGCAUUUGUAUUUGAGUUUCAAAUAGCAAGGUCAUUGCCAGACUGCACACUAAUUUAUCCCUCAUAUAAAAAGUUAGAAGUUACACAAGUAUGAGUACUUCAUGCAUUCCUACAGAUGAGUAGAAAGACAAACAAACCCUUUGUUUUGUUCUGAACUAUCCCUGUUUUCUGUUCACCACAACAGGCUCAAUUUUUGUCUGAAACAAUCUGAUUUGAAGGAUUUCUACAUACCAAACACAGGCUUGCAAUGCUGAGAAUAGAUUGGGGGUGGGAUAACUGAUAUUGCUGUCACACACCCUGUACAGCUUUCACAUGCAUUUGUUAGGCUAGUCAGUGUGAAAAUUUCUAUAUAUUGCACAUUUCCCAACUAUACAAUAAUCUGAAAUUCAGUCUGAAAGGCAUUUAAUGCACAGCAGUACACAAAGAGCUACAAUUCCUAUAUUGUACAUACAAAGUGGGCAUUCAGAAAACAUACACUAAGUUUGUGUGCCAACAGCAUGAAGACGCAAUCUGGAACUCAUCUUACAUGUGUUAUGAAACAUGUGCUAUGAAAGUGAUAGGAAAUUGCCAAGAAUAAAUGUGUAUUUAUGAAAUGUUAUUAGUGAGAAAUACUGUACUCACUUUUUUAAAAAAAUAAAUAAUAAAGUUUUCAAAUUUCUGGAGCACACAUACCA